UGGGGAAUAUUGCACAAUGGGCGCAAGCCUGAUGCAGCCAUGCCGCGUGUGUGAAGAAGGCCUUCGGGUUGUAAAGCACUUUCAGCGAGGAGGAAGGUGGUGAACUUAAUACGUUCAUCAAUUGACGUUACUCGCAGAAGAAGCACCGGCUAACUCCGUGCCAGCAGCCGCGGUAAUACGGAGGGUGCAAGCGUUAAUCGGAAUUACUGGGCGUAAAGCGCACGCAGGCGGUUUGUUAAGUCAGAUGUGAAAUCCCCGGGCUCAACCUGGGAACUGCAUUUGAAACUGGCAAGCUAGAGUCUCAUAGAGGGGGGUAGAAUUCCAGGUGUAGCGGUGAAAUGCGUAGAGAUCUGGAGGAAUACCGGUGGCGAAGGCGGCCCCCUGGACGAAGACUGACGCUCAGGUGCGAAAGCGUGGGGAGCAAACAGGAUUAGAUACCCCUGGUAGUCCACGCUGUAAACGAUGUCGAUUUUGGAGGUUGUGCCCUUGAGGCGUGGCUUCCGGAGCUAACGCGUUAAAUCGACCGCCUGGGGAGUACGGCCGCAAGGUUAAAACUCAAAUGAAUUG
rnacentral:rRNA from 1 species